UACGGGGGGGGCAAGCGUUGUUCGGAAUUACUGGGCGUAAAGGGCUCGUAGGCGGCCAACUAAGUCGGACGUGAAAUCCCUCGGCUUAACCGGGGAACGGCGUCCGAUACUGGAUGGCUUGAGUUUGGGAGAGGGAUGCGGAAUUCCAGGUGUAGCGGUGAAAUGCGUAGAUAUCAGGAAGAACACCCGUGGCGAAGGCGGUUCUCUGGGACGGUACUGACGCUGAGACGCGAAAGCGUGGGGAGCGAACAGG
rnacentral:rRNA from 1 species